rnacentral:rRNA from 1 species
CCCUUAGAUGUUCUGGGCCGCACGCGCGCUACAGUGACGAAGUCAGCGAGCAUGUCCUACGCCGACAGGUGCGGGGAAUCUUGUCAAACUUCGUCGUGAUGGGGAUUGAUUUUUGAAAUUCUUGAUCAUAAACGAGGAAUUCCUAGUAAGCGCAAGUCAGCAGCUUGCGUUGAUUACGUCCCUGCCCUUUGUACACACCGCCCGUCGCUACUACCGAUUGAAUGGUUUAGUGAGAUCUUCGGAUUGGCGCCACUGCAGCUCAGCAAUGGGCUUGGUGGAUGCCGAAAAGUUGAUCAAACUUGAUCAUUUAGAGGAAGUAAAAGUCGUAACA